UCCCAUCUCUCAUAUCAGACGUGUUAUAAAUGUCCUCCCAUCUCUCAUAUCAGACGUGUUAUAAAUGUCCUCCCAUCUCUCAUAUCAGACGUGUUAUAAAUGUCCUCCCAUCUCCCAUAUCAGACGUGUGAUAUAAAUGUCCUCCCAUCUCUCAUAUCAGACGUGUUAUAAAUGUCCUCCCAUCUCUCAUAUCAGACGUGAUAUAAAUGUCCUCCCAUCUCUCAUAUCAGACGUGAUAUAAAUGUCCUCCCAUCU
rnacentral:lncRNA from 1 species